rnacentral:rRNA from 1 species
GCAGCGUCACGUGUUUCUUACCGGAGGUAGAGCUACUGGAUAGCUGAUGGGCCUCACCAGGUUACUGACGUUAGCCAAACUCCGAAUGCCGGUAAGUGAGAGCGUGGCAGUGAGACUGCGGGGGAUAAGCUCCGUAGUCGAGAGGGAAACAGCCCAGACCACCAUCUAAGGUCCCUAAGCGUGUGCUAAGUGGGAAAGGAUGUGGAGUUGCAUUGACAACCAGGAGGUUGGCUUAGAAGCAGCCACCCUUUAAAGAGUGCGUAAUAGCUCACUGGUCAAGUGAUUCCGCGCCGACAAUGUAGCGGGGCUCAAGCACACCACCGAAGCUGUGGCAUUGACACACUGCUCGGCCAGUUUUCCUGCGGGGUUCUGGUCCAGGCGUGUUGAUGGGUAGGGGAGCGUCGUGUGGCCAGGGAAGCGGCGGAGUGAUCCAGCCGUGGAGGCCACACGAGUGAGAAUGCAGGCAUGAGUAGCGAAUGACGGGCGAGAAACCCGUCCGCCGAAUAACCAAGGGUUCCAGGGUCAAGCUAAUCUGCCCUGGGUAAGUCGGGACCUAAGGCGAGGCCGACAGGCGUAGUCGAUGGACAUCCGGUUGAUAUUCCGGAACCGGCGAAGAACCGCCCAUGACGAACCUAGUGAUGCUAAACGCCCAAAGCUGUUGUCCAAGACCUUCGGGUUGAGGGUUUCAGUGGAGCGCGUGACCCGAUCUAGUAGUAGUCAAGCGAUGGAGAGACGCAGGAAGGUAGCCUCCGCGUGGCGAUGGUAGUCCACGUCCAAGGGUGUAGGGCGAGCUGUAGGCAAAUCCGCAGCUCACAUAGCCUGAGACCUGAUAGUGACCGCGUAUGCGGGAAGCAGGGUGAUCCUAUGCUGCCAAGAAAAUCUUCUAGCGAGGUUCGAGCCGCCCGUACCCCAAACCGACUCAGGUGGUUAGGUAGAGAAUACCAAGGCGAUCGAGUGAAUCGUGGUUAAGGAAUUCGGCAAAAUACCCCCGUAACUUCGGGAGAAGGGGGGCCCAGAGGGUGAAGGCACUUGCUGCCUAGCCUGAACGGCCGCAGAGACCAGGGAGAAGCGACUGUUUACUAAAAACACAGGUCCGUGCGAAGUCGCAAGACGAUGUAUACGGACUGACGCCUGCCCGGUGCUGGAAGGUUAAGAGGACCGGUUAGUUCUUCGGAGCGAAGCU